GAUGAAGAACGCAGCGAAAUGCGAUAAGUAAUGCGAAUUGCAGAAUUCAGUGAGUCAUCGAAUCUUUGAACGCACAUUGCGCCCUGUGGUAUUCCGCAGGGCAUGCCUGUUCGAGCGUCAUUUCAACCCUCAAGCUCUGCUUGGUGUUGGGCCCUGCCCGCUGCGGCCGGCCCUAAAGACAGUGGCGGUGCCGCCUGGCCCUGAGCGUAGUACAUCUCUCGCUCCAGUGCCCGGUGGUAGCCUGCCAGAACCCCAACUCUCGUGGUUGACCUCGGAUCAGGUAGGGAUACCCGCUGAACUUAAGCAUAUCAAUAAAGCGGAGGA
rnacentral:misc_RNA from 1 species